UAAGGAAUCUUGCGCAAUGGACGAAAGUCUGACGCAGCAACGCCGCGUGCAGGAAGACGGCCUUCGGGUUGUAAACUGCUUUUAUUUGGGAAGAUUAUGACGGUACCAAAUGAAUAAGGACCGGCUAACUACGUGCCAGCAGCCGCGGUAAUACGUAGGGUCCAAGCGUUAUCCGGAUUUACUGGGCGUAAAGAGAUGCGCAGGCGGUGAUUUAAGUGCGAUGCGAAAUCUGGUGGCUCAACCAUCUAGACUGUAUCGCAAACUGGAUUACUAGAGGAGAGUAGAGGCAAGUGGAACUGGUGGUGUAGCAGUGAAAUGCGUAGAUAUCACCAAGAACACCAAUGGCGAAGGCAGCUUGCUGGGCUCUUCCUGACGCUCAGGCUCGAAAGCGUGGGGAGCGAACGGG
rnacentral:rRNA from 1 species